CCUUUUUCUUUCUGUCAAGGUAGGCAGCAAGGGUCCUCUAGAAUAAAGAGAGGGGGCAUCUGGUUGCAUUCCAACCCUCCCCACUCCUAAGGAAAUUACAGAAGCUCAUCCCCUGUCAGAAGAUGAUUCAGAGAAUAGGAUGUCUGGAGUGGAACAAGCCAACAGGGCUUGCCACAUGCCUUAUAAAAGGGCAAAUUCUCUGAAGAUCAGCAGGAACCUUUGGAAAUUGGCCAGCCAAAGAACCCACCUCUCACUCUCAGCCUCUGCCAUCUCCAUCCCUCCACCCUUUAGUCCGGAGGGUUCUAGGGGUUGCUAUGGUUUCAUAAAUACUUCUCCUGCCUUUCAGAAAAGAUUAGAAGCUCCUGGAAGGCAGGACAAAGUCUUAUAGACUUCUCUCACCUCUAUCACAUCCAGUACCUAUAGGAGGUUGUCAACAACAAAUGUGUGUUGAACAUCUACCAUGGCCUGGUUGCGCGAGGGACUCCUGACAUGACAACAGUGCACACUCCUCACCAAGAGAGAGGCCCUUUGGGAAGCGGCUUCACCUGACCCAUCGGGGAGAUGGCAGAAUUGCUUCACCAUGAUUAUAGAUGUCAAACCUUGCAGAGACCACUCACCAUCAUCUGCUGACUUUGAAAAUGAGGAAACUGAGGCCCAGAGAGGGAAAGUAACUUGUCCCAGGUCAUGAGCAGAGUGACAGUGCUGGGAUUAGCAUGCUCUCUCCCAGAGAGUCCUUGUGGACUUCAGGUAUCCCCUGUGUGCUCAGUGGCAUGUGAUGCUGAGGGACCACCAGGUAGGCUGGGGGACUUUCAGGGGGCUGAGGUCUGAGAAGCUCUCAGGUCAUCAGCUUAGCCAACUGGCCACAGAUUCAUGUGUCUGCCUCCUCCAUAAACCUUCCACUGGGAAGGACAGCUUGCCGCCCAGUGAGUUAAGGACUGCAUUUGGGGGCCCAGGCCAAUCCAGGAAGGGACUCUUGUGCUCAGGAGGAAGCAAGAGCUGGCACAACUGUGUGGCAUGCAUGGGACUGGCAGAAUGUGGGCUGAGAGGAAGGGAGGCUAUUGGGGAUGAUGAGGCAGAGGCCUGCCUGGCUCACAAAAUGCCUCCAUUUUGUCCUGGGCCUGGAUUAUGGUCAUGAUGAGAACUGGUGCCCUCUGAAGAUUAUCGGUGAAGCUCAGUGGGCAUGCACAAAGCCCUCUGAAGAUGGAGCUUUUUCCAAGAGCAACAACCACCGCAGCAUAGAGUCUGAGGGGCCAGCUGCUCCCUGUGCAGUCACCACACUUGUUCCUCUCACAGAGACUUCAUUUUUAUGCUCACACAGGCUCCUCCUGGCCCCCAACCCACAUGCUAACCAAGGUCCAGAGAUAGGUUUGAGGUGGCACCAGAGAGACAGGAAGAGCCACUGAAAGAGAACCUUGAUGGCAUCUACAUGAAAGGGCUCGAGGAGCCACUAGGCUGCAGCAGUGUAAGCUUGGGGAGGGCAGUAUUCUAGAAAGAGCACUAAACUUGGAAUCAGGGAGCCAGGAUAUAGUCUUGGCUCUCUCUGCCUCUUACUUGCAACAUGACUUCUCUGAGCCUUGGGAGAAUUAUUCCUACUUCACAGGGUGGUUGUGGGGAUUAAUAAAAGUAAUGAACUUGAAAGAACCCGUAAAAUU
rnacentral:lncRNA from 1 species